rnacentral:rRNA from 1 species
GACGAACGCUGGCGGCGUGCUUAACACAUGCAAGUCGAACGGAAAGGCCCUGCUUUUGUGGCGUGCUCGAGUGGCGAACGGGUGAGUAACACGUGAGUAACCUGCCCUUGACUUUGGGAUAACUUCAGGAAACUGGGGCCAAUACCGGAUAGGAGCUCCUGCUGCAUGGUGGGGGUUGGAAAGUUUCGGCGGUUGGGGAUGGACUCGCGGCUUAUCAGCUUGUUGGUGGGGUAGUGGCUUACCAAGGCUUUGACGGGUAGCCGGCCUGAGCGGGUGACCGGCCACAUUGGGACUGAGAUGCGGCCCAGACUCCUACGGGGGGCAGCAGUGGGGAAUAUUGCACAAUGGGCGGAAGCCUGAUGCAGCAACGCCGCGUGCGGGAUGACGGCCUUCGGGUUGUAAACCGCUUUCGCCUGUGACGAAGCGUGAGUGACGGUAAUGGGUAAAGAAGCACCGGCUAACUACGUG